GUGACGCAAGGGCGGGGUUGCCGGAAGAAGUGGCGAAGUUACUUUUGAGGGUAUUUGAGUAGCGGCGGUGUGUCAGGGGCUAAAGAGGAGGACGAAGAAAAGCAGAGCAAGGGAACCCAGGGCAACAGGAGUAGUUCACUCCGCGAGAGGCCGUCCACGAGACCCCCGCGCGCAGCCAUGAGCCCCGCCCCCCGCUGUUGCUUGGAGAGGGGCGGGACCUGGAGAGAGGCUGCUCCGUGACCCCACCAUGUCCUCUCCUACCACGAGUUCCCUGGAUACCCCCCUGCCUGGAAAUGGCCCCCCUCAGCCUGGCGCCCCUUCUUCUUCACCCACUGUAAAGGAGGAGGGUCCGGAGCCGUGGCCCGGGGGUCCGGACCCUGAUGUCCCAGGCACUGAUGAGGCCAGCUCAGCCUGCAGCACAGACUGGGGUGAGACAGGGCCCUGGAGUUGAUGUGGGGGCUUGGGGAGGGGUUUAGGAAGGGAGAAAGAAAUAGAAAUGGGAAUGGGAGGCCCUGAUCUUUGCUUUUUGUUCUUGCUUUCUCCUUAACAUAUACAUCUUUCUAAAUUGCAAUUUCCCUGAAUGUGAGCAGCAACUCCUCUCUCCCUCCAUCCUCUGGCUCUUUGCCUGGGGAUCUCCUGUGGGCCCAUCUCUCUGGUUCCUGUUUCUCCUUGUGGCUUUCUCAUGGCCUCUACCUACCCACCCCAGUCAUCCC
rnacentral:lncRNA from 1 species